UCAGAAAAGCCCUGUCACAGGCUAUUAUCAUCAACAUCCAAAGAUUAAACAGUCCUUGGAGAUUACAGUUGACCGUCGUGAAAAUGUAAUAUCAUCAUAAAC